rnacentral:rRNA from 1 species
CCUACGGGAGGCAGCAGUGGGGAAUUUUCCGCAAUGGGCGAAAGCCUGACGGAGCAACGCCGCGUGAGGGAUGAAGGCCUCUGGGCUGUAAACCUCUUUUAUCAAGGAAGAAGAUCUGACGGUACUUGAUGAAUAAGCCACGGCUAAUUCCGUGCCAGCGGCCGCGGUAAUACGGGAGUGGCAAGCGUUAUCCGGAAUUAUUGGGCGUAAAGCGUCCGCAGGCGGUCUUGUAAGUCUGUCGUUAAAGCGUGGAGCUUAACUCCAUUUCAGCGAUGGAAACUGCAAGACUAGAGUGUGGUAGGGGCAGAGGGAAUUCCCGGUGUAGCGGUGAAAUGCGUAGAUAUCGGGAAGAACACCAGUGGCGAAGGCGCUCUGCUGGGCCAUAACUGACGCUCAUGGACGAAAGCCAGGGGAGCGAAAGGGAUUAGAUACCCCUGUAGUCCUGGCCGUAAACGAUGAACACUAGGUGUCGGGGGAAUCGACCCCCUCGGUGUCGUAGCCAACGCGUUAAGUGUUCCGCCUGGGGAGUACGCACGCAAGUGUGAAACUCAAAGGAAUUGACGG